AAACGGGCGCGCCAGGGUUUGCUGGAACCGGGGUUGCUUAGGGGUUCUCGCCCCGUCUAGUCCGAGACUGCUGAGCACCUCGCCCCCGGGGGACCAAGCUCAGGCCUCCUGGCACUAGUGGUUAUAAAGAGGUACCCAUAUGCUCUCUGCCGCCCCUGCCAAAAAAAGGGCCACGGAGGGGAAGAGAAAAAGCACACACCAGGCGCCGCGGCAGGUGAACUUGUCAACAAGUCAACCCUGGACGCAAGUCCCUGCCCACCAGGGAGCUCGGGGUCCUGGGGCCGGAGCCGCCGGGAAGGCGAGGCGCGCGGUGGGUGGGUGGGGUGGGCUGGCAUGGGUGCCGGUGCUCCCAGCGCUGGGGCCGGAGCGCGGAACGCUUCCCUACCGCUCCCCCGGGGCUGACGCACGCUCUCACGGCGCGCGCAUCCUCCAGACCUUCCCAGGCCGGAGGGAGGAGGGGAGGGGAAGGGGCUGAUGCGGUUCCCGCACCGGGAUCCGGGACCCGAGGAGGCGACUCGCCUAUCACGCGCCGCCCGCGGAGGGCAGAGAAGGCAGCUCCUACCAGGCGUCCCCGACCGUCCCGGCUGCCGGGCGUCUCCUGCUGCUUCCUGCAGCCCGCCCGGCGCGCCCCCGCCCCGACCCCGGAGGGCAGGUACCUCGGAGCCCCGGCCCCCAGGAGCCUCCCGGCCGCGGUCGGAGCGUCCCUCCGGAUCACUCAUCCGACGUCAGCGUCAGCCGAAGGCGAGGGAAAGGGGCGGGGGGAGCGCAGGAACCGGCCCUUCCUGCGGCGGCCGCCACCAGCCGGAAUAGCAACCGGCGGAGCCCGUGCGCACCGCAGCGCAGCGCAGCGGCCGGGGGGUGCGGGCGCCCUCGCCGCCCGGCUACCUACCGCCGCCUGGGCGCCGCCGCUGCCUCCCUUCCCCGCUUCUACCCUCCAGCAGACGCCCGCCGGAGCGACCCCUCCCAGGGUGACCGGGGGAAGGUGUUCCACGUGGCCAUAGCGUUUGCGUCACAAUGACCUGGCGGACAGGUGGGAGCCACAGCGUACACCCCAGGGUUCCCUCUGUGCUGUGCGUAGUGCCUACUGCUUGCUUCCAGGUUAAAUUUCUGUAGCUUUAGAGGACAGGAGACUUCAUGACUUCACUGCCAAGAAAAGUUACAGAGGCCUGCUGUACCUGGAAAUCAAGUUUGAGCUUCGAGAAUAAAGGUCAUGUUUUAAAAACAGCUGUGUAUGUAUAGAACACCAGUAAGGUGCUAGUGAGAACCCGAAACAGUUUCUAAGGAGAAUGGCUAUUGAAUGAUGGGAUCAGAAAUUAGGAGAGAAAUAAGGACCCUGGGCCAGGGAAAGAAAUGAAUGAAGAUGCCACCUUAUGCCCAGAACACAUCUCUCAUUCAAUGAUAAAGGAUUUGUGGUUGGGUCAACUUUUGUGAUGCUCAACUCUUUCCUUCGUAAGGACGGGCUCUUUCUCAGGAGGCUUUUGUACUCCCAAUUAACGCACUGCUAAUCUGAUGAAGCUCUAUUUUGUAGCUAUGCCAUCUGGAUCACAUAGCCUCCAAGGCCAGCAGAGCAGAGGAAGACAAAGAGCAGAGCAAGAUAGAGGUGGAAGUUACACGUCCUUUGUGCUUACUUUCUACUGGCCUCAUCGGGUCGCAAGAUCCCACUCUGAUAGGUGCAUGGGGGCUUGGAAAAUUAGAAAAACAUGUGAAUAUUUGCAAUGCUUUCAGUAACCUGGAGAGGUACACAUGGCUGGUAUAACAAUUAUCUUCAUUUAAUGAUGUGGAAACACCUACCACAAGUCCUGGCACAUUGAGGGUCUUGAAUAAAUUCUGUCAGAUGAACGGACAAGCGCACAAAAGGUUGAAAGAGUGAAUGAGGCAGGUUAAAUGACCAGUUCUAGAUUUGUUACUAAGUGACACAGCCUAACUGAGUUUUCUAAUGUUCCACUAACCCUGCUUCCAAGCAGCUUCAGAAUGCAGCUUACAUUUCUGCUAUAAAUAUUUUCUUUAGACUUUUGCUGAUGAAUUGAAGUUUCAUAACAAGAAGAAAGCAGAUGGCUUUUGGGAGGGGUUUAUACUUGCUCUUUUAACUGUGUUUCUGUUUUGCUUGUUUAUGCAGAGUGUGCACAAAGGUUGCCAGAGCCUUAAUUUCAAACUGCAUCAUUUAAUAAAAUACAAUAAGGAGAAUUAAGAAAGAAGGCUGCAGGGGAACAUCCUGCUUAUUAUCUCUGUAAUGAGAGGACUAUUUUUUCUCCCAUCAGUUGCCAAUGAUGAGGUUUUUUGUUUCCUUUUGUGCAGGCACAAUUGUGAUAUUCAACGAGAGUAGUGCGAAGUGCCACUUUACAGCCAAACAUUCAAUUCCUCCUAAUUCACAAGGGAGAGAGGGAUCAAGUUGUGCAGCUGGGAGGUGAUGUUUCUUCCCAGCAGCUGUCAUUGAGGAGACACGUGCAAACCAUAGAAGUCAUUUGUCACAAGAACCCCAUCCAGAAUUUGCUAUGUGCGUCUCACUUGCUAACGUGACAUGAAAUACUGAAGCUUUCAAAAAUCAAGUACAGAGACUUUGUUGUGUUGACAUGGGCAAAAUGAAAUGAAGAGCUGAGGCAAUUAUGUGGAUAAAUCAGGCCAAAAAUAUCCAACCAUUGAGAGGAAAAAGUUCCUUUGGCUCAAAUUAUUCAGAGUGACUGUCCAUGUUCAUCAAUUUAUCAGGAUAAUGAAUUUUAUCCUAUACUUUACUUUGUCACUAUAGAUAUAUCUUUAGUCUAUGAAUUUGAAUGACUUUGUGAUAUUUUACUUCACUGAAAAUUAUAAUAGGGGUUGAAUGAGCAAGCACCGUGUUAAAAGAUUGCUACUGCAGCUAUGAUAAUAGUCCAGGAGAUUUUAAACCCCGUUAUUCAAUAGCUAGCAGACAUAGUUAUUGGAAUGGGGGUAGAGAGGGAGACACGAAAUCUGUUGAGAAUCAAAUGCUUGUAACUAAUCUGUCUUUCCCAUUUAGCAUCCUAUUAUCCAAAAAUAUCUUGGUCUGUAGCUCCCACCUGGUUUCCUGGUCAUUUGACUACUGGUUAAAUGAGCCUGAAAAUUUCAUCAGGUUUCAUAUAAAGAAUAAUAUAUUAUAGUUACAUACAUAUAAAUGUAUAUCUUUGUGUAUUUUUAAUAUCCCUUAUUUAUCUACAAAGAGAUGAAUGUUUGAAAUAUGUGACGGAUAAGCAAGGUCAAUUCUUGUGUCUGCUCAUGCAUUGGCAUUGAGCUUUCUGCUUGGAGUCCUUAGCAUAUUCCGCACUUGAGCCAUCCUUCUUGUUUCUUCAUACUUCCAGAGCCACUAGAAUCACAGGCAAAAGGGCAGGAGCUUCUCCUUGGGGCAGAGGGAGAACCUCUGAGCAUUACCCUGGGUGGUUUGGUCCUGCCAGAGUCUCUUAAACAUUAGAGACAACUCACCAUUUGGAAGUUACAAAUCAUGAAAGUGCUCACUGAAGCAAAAUAAUACCACAUAAGAAAUAAAUGCCUAAUGUUGAUGAACAUUUUAAUCUUUAUUAUAAAAUUAUAACACAAAGAAGAAUCCUGAAGAAUGACCCUAAAGCUUUUGUCACAAUAGCAUUGUAAUGGAAAUACAGGUGUGUUUUCUUUUCUUUCUUUUUUCCUUUUUUGAGACAGGGUCUUGCUUUGUCACCCAGGGUGGUGUGCAGUGGAGCUAUCAUGGCUCACUGUAGCCUCGACCUCCUGGGCUCAAGCAAUCCUCCCACCUCAGCCUAUUGGGCAGCUGGGACUACAGGCAUGCAUAACCACAUCCAGCUAAUUUUUUGUAGAGAUGGGGUUUCUCCAUGUAUUGCCCAGGCUGGUCUCGAACUCCUUGGCUCAAGUGAUUCUCCCACCUUAGCCUCCCAAAGUGCUGGGAUUACAAGCAUGAGCCACCACACCUGGCCUAUGUGUGUUUUAUGAUUAAAAAAGAAAUACAUACAAUUAUUGGGACAGAACAAAAUAAAGAGAAAAAUACAAAUUACCUGUAAUUCAACUAUCCAGAGAUAAUUAUUUUUUACGGACUGAAUGAUGUUCUCCAAAAUUCAUAUGUUGAAGCCCUAGCCCCUAAUGUGAUUAAUAUGGUUUGGCUGUGUCCCCACCCAAAUCUCAUCUUGAAUUGUAACUCCCACAAUUCCCAUGUGUUGUGGGAAGAAACUAAUGGGAGGUAAUUGAAUCAUGGGGACGGGUCUUUCCCAUGCUGUUCUUAUGAUAGUGAAUAAGUCUCACGAGAUCUGAUGGCUUUAAAAAAUGGGAGUUUUCCUGUAUAAGCUCUCCCUCUCUUUGCCUGCUGCCAUCCAUGUAAGACAUGACUUUUUCCUCCUUGCCUUCCACCAUGAUUGUGAGGCCUCGCCAGCCAUGUGGAACUGUAAGUCCAUUAAAUGUCUUUCUUUUGUAAGUUGCCCAGUCUCAGGUAUGUCUUUAUCAGCAGUGUGAAAAUGAACUAAUACAGUAAAUUGGUACCAGUAGAGUGGGUUGCUGCUGUAAAUACCCGAAAAUGUGAAAACGACUUUGGAACUGGGUAACAGGCAGGGGUUGGAACAGUUUGGAGGGCUCAGAAGAAGACAGGAAAACGUGGGACAGUUUGGAACUUCCUAGAGACUUGUUGAAUGACUUUGCCCAAAAUGCUGAUAGUGAUAUAGACAAUGAAGUCCAGCCUGAGGUGGCUUCAGAUGGAGAUGAGGAACUUCUUGGGAACUGGAGCAAAGGUGACUCUUGUUAUGUUUAGCAGCAUUUUGCCCCUGGGCAUUUUGCCCCCAUCCUAGAGCUUUGUGGAACUUUGAACUCGAGAGAGAUAAUUUUGGGUAUCUGGCAGAAGAAAUUUCUAAGCAGCAAAGCAUUCCAGAGGUGACCUGGUUCACCACUUGGGUGCUGUUAAAGGCAUUCAGUUUCAAAAGGGAAAUGGAGAAUAAAAGUUCAGAAAACUUGCAGCCUGACAAUGUGAUAGAAAAGAAAAUCCCAUUUUCUGAGGAGAAAUUCAAGCUGGCUGCAGAAAUUUGCAUAAGUAAUGAGGAGCCAAAUGUUAAUCCCCAAGACAAUGGGGAAAAUGUCUCAAGGGCAUGUCAGAGGUCUUCACAGCAGCCCCUCUCAUCACAGGCCCAGAGGCCAAGGAGGAAAAAGUGGUUUUGUGGGCUGGGCCCAGGGUGCCUCGCUGUGUGCAGUCUAGGGACUUGGUGUCCUGCAUCCCAGCUGCUCCAGCCAUGACUAAAGGGGCCAAGGUACAGCUCAGAUUGUUGCUUCAGAGGGUACAAGCCCCCAGCCUUGGCAUCUUCCAUGUGGUGUUGAGCCUGUGUGUGCACAGAAGUCAAGAAUUGAAGUUUGGGAACCUCUGCCUAGAUUUCAGAGGAUGUAUGGAAAUGCCUGGAUGCCCAGGCAGAAGUUUGCUGCAGGGGCAGGGCUCUCAUGGAGAACCCCUAUGAGGGCAAUGCAAAAGGGAAAUGUGGGGUUGGAGUCCCCACACAGAUCUCUACUGAGACACCACCUAGUGGAGCUGUGAGAAGAGGGUCAUCACUAUCCUCCAGAACCCAGAAUGCUAGAUCCACCAACAGCUUACACUGUUUGCCUGAAAAAGCCACAGACACUCAAUGCCAGCCUGUUAAAGCAGCUGGGAGGGAGUCUGUACCCUUCAAAGCCUGGAUGUGAGACAUCGAGUUAAAGGAGAUCAUUUGGAGCUUUAAGAUUUGACUACCCCACAGGAUUUCAGACUUGCAUGGGGCUUGUAGCCCCUUUGUUUUAGCCAAUUUCUCUCAUUUGGAAUGGCUGUAUUUACCCAAUGCCUGAACCCCCACUGUAUCUAGGAAGUAACUAAUUUGCUUUUGAUUUUAUAGGCUCAUAGGCUGAAGGGACUUGCUUUGUCUGAGACUGUGGACUUUUGAGUUAAUGCUGAAAUGAGUUAUGACUUUGGAGGAAUAUUAGAAAGGCGUGAUUGGAUUUGAAAUGUGAGGACAUGAGAUUUGGAAGGGGCCAGGGGUGGAAUGAUAUGGUUUGGCUGUGUCCCCACCCAAAUCUCAUCUCUAAUUGUAACUUCCACAAUUCCCAUGUAUGAUGAGAGGAAACAGUGGGAGGUAAUUGAAUCACAGGGACGGGUCUUUCCCAUAUUGUUCUUGUGAUAGUGAAUAAGUCUCAUGAGCUCUGAAGGCUUUACAAAUGAGAGUUUCCCUUCACAAGCCCUCUCUCUCCCUCUCUUUGCCUGCUGCCAUCCAUGUAAGACAUGAUUUGUUCCUCCUUGUCUUCCACCAUGAUUGUGAGGCUCCCCAGCCAUGUGGAAGUGUAAGUCCAAUUAAACCUCUUUCUUUUGUAAAUUGCCCAGUCUUGGGUAUGUCUUUAUCAGCAGCAUGAAAACGGACUAAUACAGUGAUAGUAUUUGAAAAGGGGCCUUUGGGAGGUAAACAAGGUUAAACAAGGUCAUGAGGACCCUAAUCCAAUAGGAUUUGUGCCCUUAUGAAAACAGGGAGAGACAAACCAGAGCUCAUUGGCUAUCUCUUCCAUGUUGGGACACACAAAGAAGAUGGCCAUCUCCAAGACAGAAAUGUGAUCAUGCUGGCACCUUGACCCUGAACUUCUAGCCUUUGGAACUGUGAAAAUAAAUUUGUUUUUUACGCCACCCAGUCUAUGGUAUUUUGUUAUGGUAGUCCAAGCUGACUAACACACCACUGUUAAUAUUUUUACAUCCUUUUAUAUUUUAAUAUUAUUCUAUACUAAAAUAUAUAUCUAUCCAUCAACCCAUCCAUCCUUACGUACCUAUAAAGAUGGUGCUAUACGCAAUGGUUUACAUCAGCACUGUAUGAUAGACAUAUAUUGUGAAUCACAUACAUUAAUCACAUACAUUUAAAAUUUUUUUAGUGGCCUCUUUGGAAACAGAAAAAAUGAAAAUAUGAAAUUAAUUUUAGUAAUAUUUUAAAUUUAACCCAACAUAGCCAGAAAAUUGUCAUUUCAACAUGUAAUUAUUUAAAAAUUAUUCUUCAGGCCAGGCAUGGCGGCUCACUCCUGUAAUCACACUUUGGGAGGCCAAGGUGGGAGAACUGCUUGAGGCCAGGAGUUCAAGAUCAGCCUGGGCAACAUAGCAAGACCUUGUGUCUACUAAAAAUAAAAAAAAAUUAGCUGGGCAUGAUGGUGCAUGCCUGUAGUCUCAGCUACUCAGGAGGCUGAAGUGGGAGGAUAACUUGAGCCCAGGAAUUUGAGGCUGCAAUCCUGGUUGUGCCACUGUACUCCAGGCUGAGCAGCAGAGCAAGAUUCCGUCUCUGAAACAAAAAGUUAUUCUUGAGAUAAGUAACUUCUUUUCAAAAUUCUAAGUCUUUAAAAUAUCGUGUAUAUUUUACACAUACAGUACAUUUCAAUUUUGACUGACCACAUUUCAAGUGCUAUUACCACCAUAUUGGAAAGAGCAGUUUUAGAUCGAGGGCUUUCAGUCCUGGGCUGGAGUUGGGCUUCUCUACCUUAUUUGACAAAUGGCGUUAGACAAUUUAUUUAACUUUUUUUUUUUUUUUGAGAUGGAGUCUCACUCUGUCACCCAGGCUAGAGUGCAAUGGUGUGAUCUCAGCUCACUGCAACUUCUGCAUCCUGGGUUCAAGUGAUUCUCCUGCCUCAGCCUUCUGAGUAGCUGGGAUUACAGGUGCCCACAACUACACCCAGCUAAUUUUUGUAUUUUUAGUAGAGACAGGGUUUCACCAUGUUGGUCAGGCUGGUUGCAAACUCCUGAUCUCGUGAUCUGCCUGCCUUGGCCUCCCAAAGUGCUGGGAUUACAGGCAUGAGCCACUGUGCCCGGCGUAUUUACCUUUUUAAAUCCUGGGCUUCUUGUAUUUAAAAUGAAGGUAAUAGAAGCAUCUACUUCAAAGUGUUGUCAUGAUGCCUGAAUAAUCCAAUAUGUAAAGUAUGUAUACUUCAUGGUGGAGAGCACUCAAUAAAUGUUGGCUAAAAUUAUUUUUGUGGUUAUAAAAUGAAUAUUUAUUUUACAAUAAGUGCUAAUUUGAAUUUGAAAUCAUUUCCAACUUAAUAAUAUUUUUCCAUAAAGUCUAAAUUUAUAGACAUGCCAAAAAGUGAAAUGUGUUACCAUCAAAGGUUGUAUCUUCUCAUUGUAGUGUGUGUGUAUUUCCACUCCUGCUUUAGGAGAAGUAUGCUGGUGAGAACAUGCUAUCACAAAAAUCUUCCAGGACUGACAUGUGCCUUUAUUGAACUGAACCCCAAGGUCUGAUGGGCUGCAUUAUGUUGAGCAUUCAGGUUUGGAGGAAGACACCAGCCCUUGAGAUUUACCAUUUUGGUAGUGACAGAGACCACCAGGAGCUUCCAGCUGCCCUGUCUUGCUGUAAUGGCACUCACUCCAUGCACUUGUCCUCAAUGUGGGUGGUAUCAUCUGAAAGGACAUUUUGGAAAUUUGUGGGUACAUUUCUCAUUACUGCAAUGAUUAUCUGUGCUGCUAGAUUUUGUGGAUAAGGGCCAGGGAUGUCAUAUACAAGACAGACCUAAGCAAGAGAGAAUCAUCCUACUGCUGUACAAAUUGCAGUAGCAUUCCAGAUAUUCCAUCGACUAAGACCUAACUCCAUCUUUCAUGGAAUGCUAUUGUGCUUCCAUUGUUUCAAUAUUCUUCAAAUUUUCCUGUAGUGGAACUCCCAUGCAAAUUGGGGUUUGGUCUUACUUUGUUUGGAAUUUUUCAAGAGUUUCACACCACUUAGCAAAAUCACAUCUUUGAAGGUAAUGGCACUUGUGGCACUUGGGUUGCCAACACAACACACAUGCAUUGGUCUACACUGGCAGCUGUAGCAUUCAUAGGAUACUAUGUACCCUGUACCCAGGCUGGAGUACAGUGAAUGGAACAAGCAUCUGAGUAAUUCAUUAUGACUUCUAAUGCAAUCAUGCCUAAGUAUUUCCUUCUAUUUCUUUUGUUUUUUUCUUCAUAUUACUGUUAGGCCAUUCUAUUGUCCUUUAAAAACUUAGGUUUGUAUGUUAUUAUCUAUGAAUUUUAUUUCAGGAAAGUAAAGCAGGCUGUAUAAAAUGUCUGAAGGAGGCUGGGCACAGUGGCUCACGCCUGUAAUCCCAGCACUUUGGGAGGUUGAGGUGGGCAGAUCACAAGGUCAGGAAUUUGAGAACCAGCCUGGCCAAUGUAGUGAAACCCCGGGCAUGGUGGUGUACACCUGUAAUCCCAGCUACUUGGGAGGCUGAGGCAGGAGAAUCAAUUGAACCCGGGAGGCAGAAGUUGCAGUGAGCCGAGAUCAUGCCUGGGCCACAGGGGGAGACUCCAUCUAAAAAAAAAAAAAAAAAAUCUGAAUCCUGGGUCUGACUGGCUUAAGAUUCACCACUUUAUUGGCCCCUAAAUUAAGAAGCCAGGGAGGGAAUUCUGUCAGCUGAUGAGCCAGCAAUGCCAUAUCCAAGAAAAGGGGAAAUAAUCUCUAAUUGUGAGAUUCCACCCAGACUACAAUAAAAUGUUCUUGGUUCAGAAUUGAUCAAUAUUCAUCAGCAGACUUGCAUAUGACCCUCUCUCACAGGUGAAACACCUGUGGUGCUUAGGGUGACCAAGUUUUAAAGUUAGCUUCAGCAAGUGACUAAGAGUCCCCAGUGCCACAGAUUCUCUUUGAAGUUUAGGGAAAAGAUUCACAGUAAAUGCUUGUGUGUUGCAAAGCCCUCCUCAAGGACCUGCAGAUUCUUCCUCAGCUAAGGAGCUCUGUAUCUGUGAGAUAUGUGAUUGUUAGGCCUCUAUUCACCAGCCUGGAGACUUAGUUACAGCAUCAAGAUGCACUUUGGUAGUCUACUCAUUUAUUUUGGUGCUAUGGACCUCAUGGUCAAUUAUCCUCUGUGGAAAAGCCCACUUAAGUCAGCCACUGCAAUUUUCACCCUGGCCCUUCUUUUUGUUGUGGUAGGUAUUACCGUUUUCUGUUGGCAUUUCAUCAGGGCUCCUGAGUCUCCGCCAUCUCAGGAUCCUGCUAUCACCAAGGAAAUAUAAGAGCUCAUUUCACUGCAGUGUCUCCUACCAGUGUCCUGGCAUUAGGAAAGAACCACUUAAGUGCUUUUCAGAGAUGCUAGCAGUCUUCUUGCCAGUGUAUUUCCCAAGGCUAUGGUGAACAAAGUGUCACGUGCCCUUGAAGGACAAGUUAGAGGAUGGGUGAAGAUGAAUAUGACUCAUCCAUUUUGGUAUUCUUAUAUUAUUAGUUCUCUAUAUAUCUUCUUGUUUAUUAUACCAAGAUUAAAAUUUUAUUAAAAAUUAUUUUAUAGAGACAGAGUUUUGCUUUGUCACCCAGGUUGGAGUACAGUGAUUUUAUGACAGCUCAUGGCAGCCUCAAUUCCGUGGGCUCUAGCUAUCUUCCUACCUCAGUCUCUGGUGAAUUUUUAAUUUUGUUGUAGAGACGGGGUCUUGCUAUGAUGCCCACACUGAUCUCGAACUCAUGGGCUCAAGCAAUUCUCCUGCCUCAACAUCCAAAAGUGCUGGGAUUACAGGUGUGAACCACUGCACCCAAUCAAGGCUGUUUUUCUUUUUCUGGCAUGCCAACUUCAUUUAGUAUUAUCUACUGUCAUGUCUAGGUUUCAGGAAAAUCAUCCUAAUGUCAAUCAAAACCACUUGUAGCUGCUUGAAUUAGUUGAUCAAAUACAUAAUCUUUGGUGAAUGUACUUGUGCUGAAUACAUUUGUUUGAGCACCUUGAGAAUUCAUUUCCACACAUAUUCCCAGAUUUUUCUGACAUGAAAUUGUAGAGCCCAGAAAUUCUUUUGGUAUAUAAGACUUCUCAAGUGUUUGACUUUCAAAUUGUAUUCCCAAGACAUUCUGGGAUCUGACUACAUAGUUUUAAGACUAGUAGUAGAGAGAAAUGAAGGAUAAAGAGAGAAUUGGCUUUUCCUUGCAAAGCAAGUUCUUCAUAUGAUAUUACUAGGGGGUCUUCAAGUACAGUAGAGAUAACUUCAUCAGACAGGGAUGGAAGAGCUGAACCUUCUGUGGCAGUUGAAGGUUCAAGGCAUUUAAAGUUCUCCAAAUCUUCCCACAUAUAGUGUAUUCAUCAGCUUGGUCUACCAUAACAAAAUACCAUAGACUGGGUGGCUUGAACCAUAAGAAUGUAUUUAUUAUAGUUCUGAAGGCUGGGAAGUCCAAGAUCAAAGUUUUAGCUGAUCUGGUUCCCUGGUGAGGGCUUUCUUUCUGAUUUGUGGAUGGCUGCUGAUACGACUUGGUUGUUUUGUCCUCUCCAUAUCUCAUGUUGAAAUGUGAUCCCCACUGUUGGAGAUGGGACUUGGUGGGUGGAGUCAUGUUAGAGUCACGGGGAGUAGAUCUCUCAUGAAUGACUUUGUUCCAACCUUGUGGUAAUGAGUAAGUUCCCGCUCUACAAGUUCAUUCGAGAUCUGGUUGUUAAAGAAGCUUGGCAUCUCCUCCCUCUCUGUCACAUGUAGCAUGCUGGCUCCCCUUCCCCUUCUUCCAUGAUUGUAAGCUUCCUGAGACUCUCACCAGAAGCAGAUGCCAGUAAUAUGCUUUGUGUACAGCCUGUAGAACCACGAACCAACUAAACCUCUUUUCUUUAUAGGUUACCCAGUUUCAUAUAUUCCUUUAUAGCAAUGCAAACAGACUAACACAGCAACACAGCUGCCUUCCUCCUGUGGCCUCACAUGGCAGAUAGAGAGAGAGAAAGAGAGAGUGAGAGAGAGAGUGAGAGAGAGAGAGAGAGAGAAGGAGAUAGAGGGAAUGAGGUGGGGAAGCAAACUCUCUGGUGUCUCUUCUUAUAGGGGCACUAAUCCCAUCAUAAUGUUCCUACCCUCAUCUAAAACUAAUUACUUUCCAAAGGCCCUAUCUCUAAAUACCAUUAUAUUGAGGGUUUGGGCUUCCAUAUAUUUGAAUUUUAGGGGGAUACAGGUCAGUCCAUAGUACUAUAUAUCCUCAGUACAAUUCUCAGAGUUUGAUUACUUUCCAAUUCACAUGCUAAUUUUCACAUAUGAUGCAUGGUAAACAUAUGAAUUCGGAUAAUAUGAUUCAGUAACUUACAGGAUAAAUAUCCUCAAUUAUUGUUAAUUUCCAACCACCCCCUGGCUCUUUGUGUCACUCCCUCAAUAUUCAAAAUCCAUUGAGUAUCUGAUUGGAUAAGCCUAGGUUGCUGACACACAUCCUGGUUGUCUUCCACCAUGGGAGGUAAAGCCCUGAAUUCUUCACCUCUUGGGGCUUUCCCUAAAUCAGCUCAGGUUUGGGUAGACAAAAUGAAAUAAAAUAAAAUAAAUAAAACACAACAACCCACAAACCCAACUAUUUAUUAUAAAGAUGUUUAGAUAUUUUUCUUCAUUUUCAUGCUAUUUUAAAUGACAGUCUGGUAAAUAGCAAGGUUUUUGGUUAUUUUCAGGAUAGAUUCUCAGAAGCAAAGUUUUUGAGUCAAAGGUCUUAUAAAAAUUUUAAGACUUAUGAUAUAUACUGUCAAGUGACUUUUAAAAAUUUUUGUACCAAUUUUGUUCUCACUCCAGCCAUAUUGGACUGAUCCCAUUUCAUUGCGCCCACACUCCCACUGACCAAGACAUUUUCUUUUCUGUCAACAGUCCAUCAUUCUUUCUUGAAAACAUUACUGUCUUAUCUUUUAAUGCAACUUAGCAUUUCCCCACUGCUUUCUUGAUUUCUUCUGUAGCCCCUUAAGAAUACAUGGAGUGAGAAGGACACAAUGUCAUUUCUUUGGGAUUCUUGCCCCAAAUAUACAACCCUUAAGCUGAUUAUGAGAGAAUGUCAAACUCACUUGGAUAUUCCACAAAAAACCUGGCCUUCAAAAGUGUCAAGGUCAUAAAGACAAAGAAAGACUCAGAAGUUGUCCCUGACUAGGAGAGACUAAGGAGAUAAGAUUACUAAAUGCAAAGUGAGAUCCUGAACUGGGUCCUGGACCAGAAAAGGGCUAUUCAUGGAAAAACUAGUGAAAUUUGAAUAAUCUUUGUAUAUUAGUUAAUGAUAUAAUCUCUAUGUUUAUUUCCUGGUUUUGAUAAUUUCACUAUGGUUAUAUAAGAUGUUAACAUUAAGAGAAGCUGGGUGAAGGGUGUAUGAUAGUACCUUUCUGUACCUGUAUCAUGACUUUUCUGUAAGUCCAAACUUAUUUCAAAAUAAAGUUAAAAAACACUCCUGGUUUGUGAUGCUUAUAUCUUGUGUUUUGUCUGUAAAUAGUAAAAAAUAAGCAGCAAAAGUUAGUGUAGGGAUCCUGGUCUUAUUUCUUCUCUCCCCUAUUUUUACUUUCCAGUGUCUCCUUAUCUUAUGAAUAAUGGUAAAGAGGUGUCAUAAAUGUGGCAAAUCCCCCAUACCUCAUCCAAGGCAGACAUAGCUAACGGAUCCAGAGUCUUUUUCCAGUUGAGCUCAUUUUCUGCCAUCAUGGCUUGGUUGGAAUUGUCAUGCUAGUUAAGAUGUACUUAUUGUCUCUGCAUGAUGGGAUGCCUUACUGUUCUGUAAUUCUUAAUUGAUUUCUGAAAUUUGAUUUGAAACCAUGUAUUUGCACCACUUUACAUUUUAAUACAUGCUUCAUUUUUUCUAAAGUUUUCUUUAAAUAAUUUAAGUAUGCUUCUUCCAUUUGUUUCAUAACCAUGUACUCUGAGCUCUUUAAGCUGUGCUUGACAUUUUGUUAUUUCAG
rnacentral:lncRNA from 1 species